UGAAGCUGGAAUCGCUAGUAAUCGCGGAUCAGAAUGCCGCGGUGAAUACGUUCCCGGGUCUUGUACACACCGCCCGUCACACCAUGGGAGUCGGAAAUGCCCGAAGUCUGUGACCCAACCUUAGGGAGGGAGCAGCCGAAGGCAGGUCGGAUGACUGGGGUGAAGUCGUAACAAGGUAUC
rnacentral:rRNA from 1 species